rnacentral:snRNA from 1 species
GUGCUCACUUUGGCAGCCCACAUACUAAAAUUAGAAUGAUACAGAGAUUAGCAUGGCCUCUGGGCAAGGAUGACACCAGAUUCAUGAAGUGUUUCAUAUUUUU